AUAAAAAACGUCUUUGAUGAAAGAGUUUAUGAUGCUUUAGACUUACGAAAGAAGGAUCAAUUUCUUUGGUAUCUAUAACGUGGAAAAAUAUAAUAUCAUAAAAUAGAAAUAAUCUGCUUGUCCUCUUUCUGUUAAUCAAAAUAUUAAAAAUUAUUAUUUUAUUAUCAAAUGUAUGUUACGUUAAUCGAAAAAAGUAACUCGACUGGAUAAUAUAGUCUCUUGAUAUCUUAUUUCUAUAAUUAUAAAAUCAUAAGGUGGAAGUAAUUGUAAAUCCAAUAGGUUAUGAAAAUGUCUUAAGUUCAAUCUCAGUGCACUGCAUCGCGCAAGCUCUUGAGUACGUACGUAUAAGAAUACGUAAGUUACAUAUAUAUUUCUAAAUGUAUAUAAACUAGAUAUUAAAUUGUCCCAGAAGUUUCUUUCGUUUUAUAAGGAAAUAAUAGAUGCACAACAUUUUUUGUUCUAUUGCAACAAAAUGAAUUAUACAGAAUUCGAUAAAAUAAUAUAAAAUAAAAAAUGUUGUGUGUGUAUUUCCUUAUAAAACGGAAAAAACUUUUGGGACAACCUAAUAUUUAUUAUACGUUUAAGGUAAAUGUACGACACUUUGAAUAUACGUGAAAUUUAAAAAGAUUGUAUAUAUUUUUUUAAGGAAUAUCUAAUUUUUAGGACAGGUACAUCUUUAAAAGUAAUAAAGUUUAAAAAAACGACAAUAAAAUUGAAAAAUUUCUAGAAUUUUACAAAGUCGCAGCAAGAUUUUCAACCAAAUCAAUCAUUUUGAAUCAUUCACACCAAAGUACCAGUGACGUAAUAAUCAGAUUGGAACAAUGGAUUUCAAGAAUGACGGAGUUUAAAUCGGAUUUCUUCAUGGCAUUUGAUGCGUCUAAUACGCAACCAACGUCUAAAACAUAUUUAAUCAUCGCGACUCCGGAUCAUGUCGGAUUCUAUUACCGACCUAUUAUUAUCGACUCGACGUCAAGACAAGAGUUCAACUUUGCUUAGCCAAUUACAAACCGUUCUCAGGAUCCUUGCUGUUCGCGCUAAUACAUACAAGCAUAUGUUAAUGUACAUAUAAAGCGCGGUCUUAAUCACUCUCAAUACUUGAUCGUCAAGCGAAACAACAGAAAUAGCGCAUACAGAAUGAUUUUAAGACGAUUGCAGAAGUCAAUAGCCUAACGAGAGUGUGUAAUUCCUAGCUUGUAUUAAAAAUUAUACGAAGAAGAACACAGUCAGGUGCAUUAUUUCUGAUAGCUUCUACUCUUGAGCUAACUACAACAUUUAUCAAUUUCUCUCGUUUAACAUGGAGACGUGUAGUGCGACUGUAUAUAUUACUUUUGACGUAACAGAUAAAACGGAAUGGAAACUUACGUGAAGCAGGAGUUCAGUUGAGCACGAAGUUCCUCAAUCGUAAGGAUCGUGUCUUGAUACUGAGGAUGAGAUCCUUGGAGGCCAUCGUCGACGCUCCCGCAUGAACUAUGGCAGGAUAAGGAGAUAUUGCUUCUAAAGAAACAAAAUAAAUGCAGAUCUUUAA